CUUGUACUCCCUCCGUCCGAAAAUACUUGUCAUUGAAAUCGAUGUAUCUAGAUGUAUUUUAGUUCUAGACACAUCCAUUUUGAUGACAAGUAAUUCCAGACGGAGGGAGUACUUG
rnacentral:pre_miRNA from 1 species